AACGAACGCUGGCGGCAGGCCUCAAACAUGCAAGUCUAGGGGGUGCAGCAAUGCAUCACCGGCGGACGGGUGCGUAACGCGUGGGAAUAUACCUUUUGGUUCGGAACAACUGCGGGAAACUGCAGCUAAUACCGAAUGUGCCCUAACGGGGAAAGAUUUAUCGCCAAAGGAUUAGCCCGCGUAGGAUUAGCUAGUUGGUGAGGUAAUGGCUCACCAAGGCUCCGAUCCUUAGCUGCUGAGAGAAGAUCAGCCACACUGGGACUGAGACACGGCCCAGACUCCUACGGGAGGCAGCAGUUGGGAAUCUUGGACAAUGGGGAAACCCUGAUCCAGCCAUGCCGCGUGAGUGAUGAAGGCCUU
rnacentral:rRNA from 1 species